rnacentral:rRNA from 1 species
UACGAAGGGGGCUAGCGUUGCUCGGAAUUACUGGGCGUAAAGGGAGCGUAGGCGGACAUUUAAGUCAGAGGUGAAAUCCCGGAGCUUAACUUCGGAACUGCCUUUGAUACUGGAUGUCUUGAGUGUGAGAGAGGUAUGUGGAACUCCGAGUGUAGAGGUGAAAUUCGUAGAUAUUUGGAAGAACACCAGUGGCGAAGGCGACAUACUGGCUCAUUACUGACGCUGAGGCUCGAAAGCGUGGGGAGCAAACAGG